CCUGGUUGAUCCUGCCAGUAGUCAUAUGCUUGUCUCAAAGAUUAAGCCAUGCAUGUCUAAGUAUAAUAAACUUGUAUUUUAGAAACUGCGAACGGCUCAUUACAACGCUAAACAUCUAAUUGAUGGAAAAUUUCUUACAUGGAUAACCGUAGGAAAAUACAGCUAAUACAUGCUUAGAAACUUAACUAUUAUUUAUAAUGGAAAAGUUGUAUUUAUUAGAUAAAAAAUCAUGUUAAUUGAUGAUUCAUAAUAACUAGACGAAUCCUUAAUUUAAUUUAAGGAUGCUUCAAUCGAUUUUGCGCCCUAUCAACUUACGAUGGUAGUAUAGAGGACUACCAUGGUUAUAACGGGUAACGGAGAAUUAGGGUUCGAUUCCGGAGAGGGAGCCUGAGAAAUGGCUACCACUUCUAAGGAGGGCAGCAGGCGCGCAAAUUACCCAAUCCUGAUAUAGGGAGGUAGUGACAAGAAAUAUCAAUAGAGGACCCAAUGGGUCUUCUAAUUGGAAUGAGAACAAGGUAAACAUCUUAUCGAGGAUCCAGCAGAGGGCAAGUCUGGUGCCAGCAGCCGCGGUAAUUCCAGCUCUGUAAGCGUAUACCAAAGUUGUUGCAGUUAAAACGCUCGUAGUCGAACCUUGGCGGUUGUUUUGCGUCAUCCUCACGGAUGGCUGUGAUUCGGCCGCCUUUGUGGAGGGGGGUGUAGUGGUUCUUUACUGAGUUACUGCAUUUCCGCCACCGUCUACUGUGAAAAAAUUAGAGUGUUCAAAGCAGGCAAUUGCCGUGAAUACAUUAGCAUGGAAUAAUAGAAUAGGACCUGGCUUCUAUUUUGUUGGUUUGUUAGAAACGGGUAAUGAUUAAGAGGGAUGGUUGGGGGCAUUUGUAUUCCAGCGCUAGAGGUGAAAUUCUUGGAUUGUUGGAAGACAAACUGCUGCGAAAGCGUCUGCCAAGGACAUUUUCAUUGAUCAAGAACGAAAGUAAGGGGAUCGAAGACGAUCAGAUACCGUCGUAGUCUUUACUAUAAACGAUGAGGACUGGAGAUCGGACGGGGCUGUUUUUGGCCCGUUCGGCAUCCCUCGGGAAACCAAAGUGUUUGCUUUCUGGGGGGAGUAUGGUCGCAAGGCUGAAACUUAAAGGAAUUGACGGGAGGGCAUCACCGGGUGUGGAGCCUGCGGCUUAAUUUGAC
rnacentral:rRNA from 1 species